AAAUUAUUACCUUCGUCCUGAAUUAGUUGACUCAGAUUUGUCUAGAUACGGAUGUAUCUAACACUAGAUACAUCCGUAUCUAGACAAAUUUGAGUCAAUUAAUUUGGGACGGAGGGAGUAGUAG
rfam:Triticum aestivum genome assembly, contig: Triticum_aestivum_CS42_TGACv1_scaffold_404220_5BL